rnacentral:rRNA from 1 species
AGAGGUCCCAAGCGUUGUUCGGAUUCACUGGGCGUAAAGGGUGCGUAGGCGGUCGGGUAAGUCUGAUGUGAAAUCUCACAGCUUAACUGUGAAACUGCAUUGGAUACUAUUCGGCUAGAGAGUUGGAGGGGGGACUGGAAUUCUCGGUGUAGCAGUGAAAUGCGUAGAUAUCGAGAGGAACACCAGUGGCGAAGGCGAGUCCCUGGACAACUUCUGACGCUGAGGCACGAAAGCUAGGGGAGCAAACAGGAUUAGAUACCCUGGUAGUCCUAGCCGUAAACGGUGCUUAUUUGCUGUAAAAGGAAUCGACCCCUUUUGUGGCGUAGCAAACGCGUUAAAUAAGCCGCCUGGGAAGUACGGUCGCAAGAUUA